GAUGAACGCUGGCGGCGUGCCUAAUACAUGCAAGUCGAGCGAACGGACGAGAAGCUUGCUUCUCUGAUGUUAGCGGCGGACGGGUGAGUAACACGUGGAUAACCUACCUAUAAGACUGGGAUAACUUCGGGAAACCGGAGCUAAUACCGGAUGAUAUUUUGAACCGCAUGGUUCAAAAGUGAAAGACGGUCUUGCUGUCACUUAUAGAUGGAUCCGCGCUGCAUUAGCUAGUUGGUAAGGUAACGGCUUACCAAGGCAACGAUGCAUAGCCGACCUGAGAGGGUGGUCGGGCACACUGGAACUGAGACACGGUCCAGACUCCUACGGGAGGCAGCAGUAGGGAAUCUUCCGCAAUGGGCGAAAGCCUGACGGAGCAACGCCGCGUGAGUGAUGAAGGUCUUCGGAUCGUAAAACUCUGUUAUUAGGGAAGAACAUAUGUGUAAGUAACUGUGCACAUCUUGGCGGUACCUAAUCAGAAAGCCACGGCUAACUACGUG
rnacentral:rRNA from 1 species